AGUGAACGCUGGCGGUAGGCCUAACACAUGCAAGUCGAACGGCAGCACAGUAAGAGCUUGCUCUUACGGGUGGCGAGUGGCGGACGGGUGAGGAAUACAUCGGAAUCUACUUUUUCGUGGGGGAUAACGUAGGGAAACUUACGCUAAUACCGCAUACGACCUACGGGUGAAAGCAGGGGAUCUUCGGACCUUGCGCGAUUGAAUGAGCCGAUGUCGGAUUAGCUAGUUGGCGGGGUAAAGGCCCACCGAGGCGACGAUCCGUAGCUGGUCUGAGAGGAUGAUCAGCCACACUGGAACUGAGACACGGUCCAGACUCCUACGGGAGGCAGCAGUGGGGAAUAUUGGACAAUGGGCGCAAGCCUGAUCCAGCCAUACCGCGUGGGUGAAGAAGGCCUUCGGGUUGUAAAGCCCUUUUGUCGGGAAAGAAAAGCAGCAGGUUAAUACCCCGCUGUUCUGACGGUACCCAAAGAAUAAGCACCGGCUAACUUCGUG
rnacentral:rRNA from 1 species